AUGGGGAUGGCUGUACUUGACGAGGCCCAGCGGCGACGGCGGCAGAGCGUCUACGAGUUCUUGGACGCCACCAAGCCCGCGCGCGCCCAGGCGCUGCGAUGGUGCGAGACUGCGCGGGAGAUGCGUAGGAUCGACGGCGACAUGAAGGAGGCGGCCCAGCUGCUCCGCGGCGCCCUCUCCUGCGUCAAGGACUACGCGUCUGUCUACAAGACGUGGAUCGCCAUGGAGAUGGACGGCGGCGGCGGCGUCGGUGUUGCCCGGUGGCUCUUCGAGGAGUGGGGCACCGUCUGCGCCAAGGAUGGAAACCUCCGCAAGGAUGACGACGGCACCACCGCCGACGAGUACGGCGACUACUGGUGCGCGUACCUCGCGUUCGAGCUCCGUCACGGGGACGCCAGGCGCGCGCGCACCGUGGCGGCACGGGCCGUGAAGGCCUGCCCGCACGACGCCUCGUUGCGCGACACGGUGGAGCUCCGCCUUAGCGACGCCAUCGAGAUCGAGCAGCAGAGGCGGCAUCGGUCGGGUCUGCUUCGCACUGCCAAGAAGUGGCUCACCAACAGCGAGCAGAGUCGCGGCUGCUCAUCACUCGUACCCCGGCCGCCGCAGGGGUACCGGAGGCUCCUCAGCGGCUAG
rnacentral:rRNA from 1 species